CACGUAGGCGGACUGGAAAGUUGGGGGUGAAAUCCCAGGGCUCAACCCUGGAACUGCCUCCAAAACUAUCAGUCUAGAGUUCGAGAGAGGUGAGUGGAAUUCCGAGUGUAGAGGUGAAAUUCGUAGGUAUUCGGAGGAACACCAGUGGCGAAGGCGGCUCACUGGCUCGAUACUGACGCUGAGGUGCGAAAGUGUGGGGAGCAAACA
rnacentral:rRNA from 1 species